ensembl:lncRNA
CAGACUGUAGAGCUAGUCAUAAACUCACAGUCAAUGUUAUCAACGAUCAGCUGAUCAAGAAAACUUAAAGAGAGAACUGUGAGACCAAACACUGUUUUUUUUUUUUGUUUGUUUUUUUUGCUUUUUGGGAUAAACCAGGUUAAAAGAUGAAAUUAACCAAGACAAAAACAAACUGGCUUCUCAUAUUGAUUCUUGCAUUUCACAUGACUUCUUCAGAAGCUUCUCAUGAUGACGAUGAUGACGAGGUGAGGAUCCUGAUGGUGGGAAUCCGAGGUCAGUCCAGAUUCAGUGCUGCAGAUCUUCUGUCAGGAAGGAAAGACGGUGGACAGGAGGACAGAGAGAUUGUAAAGACUCCAGUAAUUACAGACGAGGCUCGUAGAAUGAUGCUGAUCACUGGACCGAACCUCUGUGAGGAGGACACAGAGAGACAGACCUUCACAACAGCGCUGUUUCUCUCGUCUCCUGGACCUCACGCCGUUCUAAUGCUCCUGAAUCUGGAAGAUCAACAAUCACAACAGUGUGAUAUUGUGAAACGAGCUCAGGAGCUGCUGGGAGCAGAAGUCCUGCAGUACUGCAUUGUUCUUCUGCUGCAAAAUCACCAGGAACCUUUCACAGGAGCCUCCAGAGAAAUGAUCGACGCAUGUGGAGGAAGAUUUCUCAUCAUAAGAGACUCUGAACCUAAACCUGCUCAAAGAGCAGCUCUCGUAGCAGAAAUACACAAGUUAGUUUGGCUCAACGAUCACAGAUUUUACUCAGUAGUGACUCAAGNAACAUUUACUGUGCAAUGUCAUUUCCACCAAAUUUCAAAUGAUAUAUUAUGUUUAUCAGCAUUUUAUUACUGGAAUAAAAUGGCUAUUUUCAUAGUUUGAAUUUUAUGUAUGUAAAUACACACAUUCAAAAAUAUAUUUUGAUACUUUAUACAUAAUUUUGCAUAUAUAUAUAUAUCUAAAAAAAUUGUGAAUUCUCCUGUUAAGCAUUUAUAUGCAUUUAAAAAAAAAAAAAAAACUUUUAUAUAAAAAAAACCAAAAAUUUUUAUUAAUAUUCACUGUGUUUAGAUCACAUUUGCUGUAGGUCAAGUAACAAUAGAAACAAUGGAAAAAUCAGAACAGAGUUUUAUUUUACAGUAGGUUUAGGAGAGACCCUUGGAUUAAUUGUUAGCAUACAGACUUUUUCUGAUGUUUUUGUAGCAUGCUGAGCUGCUCUUGGAGUCACAGUUGGAGCUUAUGAAUUUUUUUAAUUUAUCAUUCGAGCACCAAAAACUGAAUGUCCGAGAAUUACUCCUGUUAUUUCUGUUUUGUACAGUGGGUGCUGAACUCACAUUGUUGUUUGUGAUUGUGCUCAGUGCUCUGUUUGGAGUGAAGCUCACAAUAAUUCUGCUAAUAAUCAUGAUAAUAACUGCAGCAUUAAAACUAGUGCUCAAAAUGAAGAAAAACUGUAAUCGAGUUACUCCUUCUUUGAGUGAUUUUUUCAUGUGGUUGUGUGUUUAUUGCUUCAGUUGUUCUGAUUUUAGAGAUGUCGUUGAGUUUGCUUAAAGUUUAUAGAGAACACUUCCUCAGUUCUUUCUUGUUUUAUCCAGUGCUGAUUAUACAGUUCAGAAAACCACUGAAGAGGAUCAAGCAAAGCAGAACAUCACAAGUGAGCAGUUUCUCUUGUCUCCUGGACUUCAUACUGUUUUAAUGGUCCUGAAUCAAGAAUCAAAAAUGUGUGAUAUUGUCACUUUAUUGCUGUUCCAAUAAAGUUUACUUUUGUGGUUACAUACUACAAUUCAUAAAAUUUAUUAAAUCAACCUAAAUCAAUAAAUUCUACAUAACAGUUCUGUACAAGUUUGAUUUUACAUCUUAAUUACA